AUCAGGAUUCUCAUCAUUGCAAGCUUCAAGUAGGAAGGGAAGAUAUGUAUCGUAAUAUUUCAGCGCUGCUUCGCGACACUGUUCUGCAACAUCAUCAAAGAUGCAAAUUGCAAUCCUUCUUUCUUCAGGCGUCUUAUCUUUCCCCCACAUAGGCGUUAGAUAUGUAGACAGUUCUUGAAAGAAAGGCAAGAAAGACGCUUUGAAUGUUUUUAUCAAAGUUCCCAAUAUUUCACCAACUUGAUCAAAGACUUCUUCCUCUUGU
rnacentral:misc_RNA from 1 species